GACUCCGUGGCUCGAAGGACGAACGCUGGCGGCGUGCUUAACACAUGCAAGUCGAACGGAGUUAAGGAGCUUGCUUCUUAACUUAGUGGCGAACGGGUGAGUAACGCGUGAGGAACCUGCCUUUCAGAGGGGGACAACAGUUGGAAACGACUGCUAAUACCGCAUGAUACUUGCGAAUGGCAUCAUUUGCAAGUCAAAGAUUUAUCGCUGAAAGAUGGCCUCGCGUCUGAUUAGCUAGUUGUGGGGUAACGGCCCACCAAGGCGACGAUCAGUAGCCGGACUGAGAGGUUGACCGGCCACAUUGGGACUGAGAUACGGCCCAGACUCCUACGGGAGGCAGCAGUGGGGAAUAUUGGGCAAUGGGCGAAAGCCUGACCCAGCGACGCCGCGUGAGGGAAGAAGGUCUUCGGAUUGUAAACCUUUGUUGACAGGGAAGAAGAAAGUGACGGUACCUGUAAAGAAAGCCACGGCUAACUACGUG
rnacentral:rRNA from 1 species